rnacentral:lncRNA from 1 species
CUAGAUCUGAGGUGUGGAGCUUGGUCAGAUUCUCGAAUAUUUUGACGUGGAUUUCGCUAAAAAGAACCACGCCAAGGUAGUGCAGCUCCACCACAUGGUCGUGCUCGCAUUGAAACCAUGCCUAGUUGCAGGGGCUCUCCCUCGUCGACGUAUUCUAAAAGAGAUUUGCACCCUCCCCCUAGUUGAAUGGAGAGCAAACUAUGUGUCUCACUUUGACACAAAAUUCUUGCAGCGAAGGAAAGGCAAGGAGGGAUCGAUCGAGUUUUGCUAUGGUUUUGGCGAUAGAACGGAGCUUUGGGAGUGCGAGAUUUUCCUCCUUCUAGGGUUCGUACCAUGAGAGGUUGGCUUUUUUGGGAAGCAAAAUUCGAAGUUACAUUAUAUGAUUGAGGUUUUUAUUUUUAGUGUCUAUUGCUUCUUCGUUUCAGUGAGGAGACAAGUGAAAUAAGGAAGAAAUUAA